AGCACAGUGACGUCAAGCUGGCUCAGAUAUGCGGCACCAUCGCCUAUUGGAGUAUAUUUGAAAUGUUGCAGCAAAGUUAAUUUUGUUGCCUUAGUUUCUGUUAGUUAGUUACAGCAGAGGUUAGUUAGCUACAGUAGACGGUAGUUAGCAAGUUAAUUGUAAUCAUCUUCUUGAAGCUUCUAUUUCGAUGUAUAAAUAGAGCAGCUUCUACAUCUUGUAGAUCUGAUUUUCAUAUUCAAUAAACAUGAGUUCUUCGUCUACAAUCUACAGCCUAGUCUAUUCAAUAUGGUAUCUAGAGCUUGUAUGAUUGAAAGUUCAAAUCAUCCAAAAGUUUUUCGGCAGUUUUGAAACUGCAUCAGUUUNUUUUCUCCAAAAUUGAGUAUCUUUCGAUCUUCUUCUUUCUCGAUCCACGAUUCCUGUGUAAAUUUUAGAUCUAGAUCUCAUGGCAAAUCAUCUCACCACCACCAUCGCCGCUGCCUCACUUCCAAAUUUGCAUCCUCUGUUCCUUCGUCUUGAUCGGAGCAACUACACCUUCUGGAGAAUACAAGUGUUAAGCACAAUUCGAGUGCAUGGUCUGGAAGAUCUUAUUGCUCCAACAGCUGCACCGCCAUCUCAACUUCUUCCUCAAGUUCAGAUCGCACCACGCACACCUCCACGCUCAAAUCCUGAAUAUCUUCUAUGGAUUCGCAAGGAUCAACAUUUGAUGAGCUGGAUGCUCACCUCCAUUGGCGAAACCAUGCUUGGUCACGUCGUUAGAUGCACUUCUGCAUCUGAUAUCUGGAACACAUUGGAACAAUUGUUCCAAUCUCAAUCACGAGCGCGCGUUCUUCAAUUGAAGAAAAUGCUUCAUUCACAGAAAAAAGGCUCUCUGUGUGUUGAUGACUACUUUAUUCGAAUGAGAAGUUAUGCUGACCAAUUAAGUGCUGCAAGUCAUCAAAUUCCCGAUGAUGAACUCGGGGAUUCUAUUCUAAAUGGCUGUGGACCAGAAUUUGAAGCAGUUGUGGUCACUCUUAUGCAUAGAACUGAGCCUCCAUCUCUUCAGGAAAUGCAAUUUGCUCUUCAAUCUCAUGAAAUCAGAUUGCAUCAGGCCUCCUAUGUGGUUGAUCCAAUGGCUCAUUAUGUUCAGAGAGGUGGUGCUAAUUCAAGGGGUCGAAGCAUGGUUGGAAGAGGAUUUAAAGCACCUGGCAAAGCUUCUGUCGUUUGUCAAUUAUACAGUAAACCAGGUCAUGUGGCUUUGAAAUGUUAUAAGCGUUUUGAUGUUCACUUUACUGGUGCAGAUACCUCUUCUGGUUCACCUCAGGCUUAUAUCACAGAUCUCACUCAACUACCAGAGUAUGAAUUUGAUGAGGAUGCUGGUCUUUGGUAUGUUGACAGUGGUGCCACCAAUCAUAUCACAAACAAUCUGAGCAAUCUUCAGCUUCAAUCACCAUAUGAUGGGACAGAAGCUCUCACAGUAGGCAAUGGUAAGCAAAUUCCUAUAGCCUCUAUUGGUUCAAAUAUUAUACAGCCAUCUCCUUCCACUUCUCUUCUUUUAAACAACAUUCUCUUUGUCCCUCAAAUUACAAAAAACUUGAUUAGUAUUUCUCAAUUUACAAAAGACAAUGAUGUAUUGUUUGAAUUUCAUGAUUCUUGCUGUCUUGUUAAGGACAAGAAGAGCCUCAGAACUCUGAUGGAGGGCAAGCUUCAUAAAGGAUUAUAUCAGUUAGAUCUCUCUCAGCUCUCUCAGCUUCAAAAUCGGUCAGGACCUUCUACAUCCACUUUUUCUUCUUCUAGUUUAGCACAAUCCAAAUCUGUACAUCAGGCUCUUGUUUCUACUUGUAAUACUCAGCAACAAUGUACUGAUUCUGCUCCUACUAUCAAUAAAUUGGAUCUUUGGCAUAAACGUUUAGGUCAUCCUAAUCUCAAUGUGUUAACUCAUGUGCUUCAUAAACUUAAUGUUUCAGCUAAAGGUUUUGCCAUUACAUUUUGUGAUGCAUGUAGCAUAGGAAAACUUCAUCAACAACCCCAUAUCACUCAACCUCAGAAAACUACUCAUCCUUUUGAAUUAGUUCACUCAGAUAUCUGGGGGCCAUCAUACAUACCUACUGCUCAAGGCUAUAAAUACUAUAUUCAUUUUGUUGAUGACUACAGUAGGUACACAUGGAUUUAUCCCCUUACUCUUAAAUCUGAAGCCAGCUCAGUAGUCCAUCAAUUUUUUAAAAUGGUUCAAUGCCAAUACUCUGCCUCUAUCAAAACUUUUCAAUCCGAUUGGGGUGGGGAAUAUAGGCCAUUAGUUCCUUUUUUCAAGCAAUUAGGUGUUCACUUUCAACAUCCUUGCCCACAUAUUCAUACUCAGAAUGGCAAAGCUGAGAGGAAACAUCAACACAUAGUAGAUUUAGGACUUACAUUGCUUAGUCAAGCCUGCCUGCCUAUGGAAUAUUGGUGGCAUGCUUUUGAAGCUGCCACCUAUCUCAUAAAUAGGCUUCCUUCUGCCACACUCAAAAUGAAAUCACCUUUUUUCGUUCUAAAUGGAAAAGCUCCAAUUAACCUCCUUAUAUGUCUUUGGUUGCUCUUGCUUUCCUUACUUAAAACCAUAUAAUAAUCAUAAGCUUCAGUUUAGGUCUUCAAAGUGCAUUUUUCUAGGCUACAGUGCUCAUCACAAAGGUUAUAAGUGUUUACACUCAAGUGGCAGACUUUACAUAGCUGAUACAGUCAAGUUUAAUGAGUUUGAGUUUCCAUAUACAUCCUUGUUUCCUUCAUCUGCUUCACAGUCUCCCUCUAUCCCUAGGUCACUCCCAAGUCUCUCUCCCAUCAUCUCAAACACUACACUUUCUCUCCUGCUAUUAGCUCUAAUUCAACUGAAUCUACUCCUCUCACUCCAUCCACUCACACUAACACUCUCACUCAUCCUCAGUCUGCUACACCUACCUUCUCUGUCAUAAGUAUUCUGCUACUACAUUUCCUGAUAUCUCUCCUGCCUCUUCUCCUCUAGAUAUUUCUGUCACAGACACUUCUAAUCUCUCUAUUCCCUUAGCAUCAGAUAUGUCUAGUCCAUCUUUGCUGAAGCUUCCUCUCCUCCCUCUAAUACUCAUCCAUGGUUACACGAUCUAAAAAUGGUAUUUUCAAACCUAAAGCAUAUAUAGCUGUACUUGAUGGACCUCCUGUUCACAAGUCUAUUCCUGCUUUACCUUUGACACUGGAGGAAGCUCUGUCUCAUAAUGGUUGGUAUGAUGCUAUGGCUCAAGAGUUUGAUGCUAUAUUAGGCAAAGGCACGUGGGUACUUAUUCCACCUGACCCUACUCAAAAGGUUAUCAGUAAUAAGUGGGUAUUCAGGGUAAAACUCAAUCCAGAUUACACCUUAGACAAGUUGAAAGCUAGAUUGGUAGCACGGGGUUUCGAACAAAUGGCUGGGGUAGACUUUGUUGAAACUUUCAGUCCAGUGGUGAAAGCUUCCACUAUCAGGUUAAUGUUCUCACUUGCAGCAAAACAUGGGUGGUCUAUACAACAAACAGAUGUGAAUAAUGCGUUUUUAAAUGGAGCAUUAACUGAUACGAUUUAUAUGGCUCAACCAGCUGGGUUUGAGGAUCCUAAACACCCUGAUUAUGUUUGUAAGUUGCAGAAAGCUUUAUAUGGCUUGAAGCAGGCUCCUCGGGCCUGGUAUGACACCCUCACUACUGAAAUCUGCAGUCUUGGUUUUCAAAAGUCCACUGCUGACUUCUCCUUAUUCUAUCAGAAAUCAGGUUCUGCCCUUACUCUAAUCUUGGUAUAUGUUGAUGAUAUACUAGUUACUGGUGAUGAUCCUAUUAUUGUCAACUCUGUUAUUGAUCAUCUUCACAAGAAGUUUUCAGUGAAAAAUCUUGGGGGUGUUAGCUAUUUUUUGGGAAUUGAAGUGCUUCAUCACAGCAAGAGUUUUUACUUAUGCCAACAUAAGUAUCUUCAUGAGCUUUUGGUUAAAACAAAGAUGGUUGACAGCAAACCUUGCCCUACGCCUAUGCUUCCAGCUGCUAAGCUUUCCAAAACUGAUGGUGAAUUCUUUCCUGAUCCUACUCUAUACCGCAGUACUAUUGGAGCAUUGCAAUAUCUCACUAUCACAAGGCCAGACAUUGCCUUUUCUGUCAAUAAACUAAGUCAGUUUUUGACAAAUCCCACUACUGUUCACUGGAAUGCGUGUAAACGCCUGCUUCGUUAUUUGAAGGGCACUGCUUCUCUCCGAUUAGCCUUUCAUUCUUCCUCUUCAUCUCAUAUUGUUGGUUUCUCAGAUGCAGAUUGGGCAAGCUGCCCGGAUGAUAGACGAUCCACCGGAGGGCAUUGUGUCUUCUUAGGGCCUAAUCUCAUUACAUGGUCUGCCAAAAAGCAAGAGGUUGUGUCACGAAGUAGUGCAGAGUCCGAAUAUCGGAGCGUGGCUAAUGCCACUACAGAGAUUGUUUGGCUGCAAGCCUUAUGUCACGAACUUGGCCUCUCUAUCACAGCUCCUCACAAGCUUUGGUGUGAUAAUGUGAGUGCAAUCGCUUUGGCCGGGAAUCCAGUUUUUCAUGCCCGCACCAAGCAUAUCGAGGUCGACGUUCACUACGUUCGUGACAAGGUCAAGGAUGGCACUGUGGACGUAGGGUAUGUGCCUUCCACGGAUCAAUUAGCUGACAUAUUCACCAAACCGUUAGCUGAUACACGAUUCUGUAUGUUACGGGAAAGGUUAAAUCUUGUUGAGCUUCGCACAUGAUGAAGGUCUGGUUUCAUGGGGGUGUAUUGGAGUAUAUUUGAAAUGUUGCAGCAAAGUUAAUUUUGUUGCCUUAGUUUCUGUUAGUUAGUUACAGCAGAGGUUAGUUAGCUACAGUAGACGGUAGUUAGCAAGUUAAUUGUAAUCAUCUUCUUGAAGCUUCUAUUUCGAUGUAUAAAUAGAGCAGCUUCUACAUCUUGUAGAUCUGAUUUUCAUAUUCAAUAAACAUGAGUUCUUCGUCUACAAUCUACAGCCUAGUCUAUUCAAUAUCGCCUCAGGCUCAGAUGAGAAGCGCCACGAAACUUCUCGGUAAGGAAAGCAAUGCUGCUCUUGCAGUUCGUCUCCGUGGUUUUCGUAUUGUAGGGAGAAUUGUGUUAUUUUGGCAUAGUGAGUUCAUUGGCUGUCCGACGAUGAUUGUUUCUUCUACCAGUACUCAGGAC
rnacentral:lncRNA from 1 species